GCGGGUAUGGUAUAACGGCUAUUACGCGAACCUUCCAAGUUCGACACAGGGGUUCGACUCCCCUUACCCGCU
rnacentral:tRNA from 1 species